AUAUAGCUGAGUGGCACAGUGCCUGCCUAGCAAGCAUGAGGUCCUGAGUUCAAUUCCCAGUAU
rnacentral:tRNA from 1 species